UACGGAGGAUGCGAGCGUUAUCCGGAUUUAUUGGGUUUAAAGGGUGCGUAGGCGGUCCGUUAAGUCAGCGGUAAAAUUGCGGGGCUCAACCCCGUCGAGCCGUUGAAACUGUCAGACUUGAGUUGGCGAGAAGUACGCGGAAUGCGCGGUGUAGCGGUGAAAUGCAUGGAUAUCGCGCAGAACUCCGAUUGCGAAGGCAGCGUACCGGCGCCACACUGACGCUGAGGCACGAAAGCGUGGGGAUCGAACAGG
rnacentral:rRNA from 1 species